rnacentral:rRNA from 1 species
AACGCGAAGAACCUUACCUACCCUUGACAUGUACGGAACCUUCCAGAGAUGGUUGGGUGCCCGAAAGGGAACCGUAACACAGGUGCUGCAUGGCUGUCGUCAGCUCGUGUCGUGAGAUGUUGGGUUAAGUCCCGCAACGAGCGCAACCCUUGUCAUUAGUUGCUACAUUUAGUUGGGCACUCUAGUGAGACUGCCGGUGACAAACCGGAGGAAGGUGGGGAUGACGUCAAGUCCUCAUGCCCUUUAUGCCCUGGGCUACACACGUGUUACAAUGGCUAGGACAAUGUGAUGCAAGACCGCGAGGUGGAGCGAAUCACCAAACCUAGUCUCAGUUCGGAUCGCAGGCUGCAACUCGCCUGCGUGAAGUCGGAAUCGCUAGUAAAUGCCGAUCAGCACGCGGCAUUGAAUACGUUCCCGGGCCUUGUACACACCGGCUAC